rnacentral:rRNA from 1 species
ACGAGACGCCCUUCGGGGUGUAAAGUUUUGUCAGUGGGGACGAACAAAUGACGGUACCCACAGAGGAAGCACCGGCUAACUCCGUGCCAGCAGCCGCGGUAAUACGGAGGGUGCAAGCGUUGUCCGGAAUCAUUGGGCGUAAAGAGUUCGUAGGCGGCAUGUAAAGUCAGGUGUUAAAGGCUGAGGCUCAACCUCAGUAUGGCACUUGAUACUUGCAAGCUAGAAUGCGGUAGAGGUAAAGGGAAUUCCUGGUGUAGCGGUGAAAUGCUUAGAUAUCAGGAGGAACAUCGGUGGCGUAAGCGCUUUACUGGGCCGUAAUUGACGCUGAGGAACGAAAGCCAGGGUAGCAAAUGGGAUUAGAUACCCCAGUAGUCCUGGCCGUAAACGAUGGAUACUAGGUGUUGCGGGUAUCGACCCCUGCAGUGCCGUAGCAAACGCGUUAAGUAUCCCGCCUGGGGAGUACGCACGCAAGUGUGAAACUCAAAGGAAUUGACGGGGACCCGCACAAGCGGUGGAACAUGUGGUUUAAUUCGAAGCAACGCGAAAAACCUUACCAGGGCUUGACAUCUGACGAACAUUCUUGAAAGAGAGUGGUGCUCUUCGGAGAGCGUCAAGACAGGUGGUGCAUGGUUGUCGUCAGCUCGUGUCGUGAGAUGUUGGGUUAAGUCCCGCAACGAGCGCAACCCUCGUCGUUAGUUGGUGAUAUUGGUACACUGAUAUCGACCUCUCUAGCGAGACUGCCGGUGAUAAACCGGAGGAAGGUGGGGACGACGUCAAAUCAUCAUGCCCCUUAUGCUCUGGGCUACACACGUGUUACAAUGGUUAGGACAGCGAGCAGCGAACCUGCGAGGGUAAGCAAAUCUCUAAAACCUAGCCUCAGUUCGGAUUGCACUCUGCAACUCGAGUGCAUGAAGUCGGAAUCGCUAGUAAACGCAGAUCAGCACGCUGCGUUGAAUACGUUCCCGGGUCUUGUACACACCGCCCGUCACACCAUGGAAGUCGACCACGCCCGAAGUACGUGAGCUAACCGUAAGGGAGCAGCGUCCUAAGGCAGGGUUGGUGACUGGGGUGAAGUCGUAACAAGGUAGCCGUACCGGAAGGUGUGGCUG